CUCAUUGUCAGUCCCGGGGACCCGAGGAGGCGCCGGCGCCGGGAGCCGAGCGCCGGGCGGUCCGCAGGCGGGAGCGCGGGCCGGAGCCGCGGAGAUCUUUAUGGAAUAACUGUAAUAUUCAUAACAUUGUACUGGUGGGAAUACAAACAAACGACAGGUCUGCACCUCCAGGGGUUUGCGCUAUAGCUGGGCUAGUGCGGUCUAAAGCCAGAAAAUGCCUGUGAGUGUGCCGUGGAACAGAGCAGUCCGGGUCUUGUCGUGGUGCUUGCUCAUAUGCUGAGUGGCAGGUAGGUGCUCAGAAAGGGAGGAGUUAAGUGCGGUGGGUGUGAAGAAGAGAUGGCAUUGAAUUGUUUCGUGAAUAGAUUUGAUGAGGUGGAGGUCAUUCCAGGCAGGGGAAGGAAGUGUCUGGGCAAAGGUAUAACACGAAGGAAUUUGUCCCCAGGAAAUGAGUAGAUCAGAGUCCAGGUGAGGAAAAAGCGAACGGCCAGCAGACCAGGGCCUCAAGUGACAGACUAAGGAAUUUAGACUUCAAUCUGUAGUUGUAGUGGGCACUCCUCAUAAAUCUUAUUUGUGAGUUAAAUCUUGUAUUCUGAAUCUGUUUAUUCAACUAGUAUUUAUUUAUUAUCUCCUGUAUGCACUUGUAUUCUUUGGAAUUUUAAUGUCCCUGAUCACUUGCAGAUGUAAAAUCCAGUUGUGAUUCUGGCACAUGGUUUUUAUAUAGAUGCAGAAACAGAUGCAGAAAAUGAAUGAACUCGGAAAAAAAAUUCUUUGAAGGGAUCUUAUUUCCUUAGGCAAGUUUAAUGGAUGCGAUUUGUUUCGCUAGUAGGAGCAGAGUUGUCGGAGGGUUUUGUUGAGAGAGAAUGGGGCACGUGUUGAAGCUGUGAGAGGGCCGUGAUGAUGUAAAAAUGUGUUGCAGGAUUCCGAAUCUCACUGCCGUUUUGAUAAUCUGGGUUUUGAUGGGGCAGCGGCCAUUUAUGUUUGAGGGCUGAAAGUAAGAGAACGGUGAGCUUAGUGAGAUGUUUUAACCUUGAGUGUUAUUUAGAACACAGCCGCAUACACAUACACAUGAUCACACUAGCUCCUUUAAUGACGAACUAAGUCUCUCCCAGCCACACCCCACUGGGCCAUAAAAACAUUUUAUCAUCGCUUACCAAUCUCAGCGGUGUCGUUGAUAAGUGCACUUGAUGGCAUUAAUCAGGACCGAUGCUAUAGUCUUUCCUUUAAGAUUAUUGCGAGCCUUUUCUAUACUCUGCUUAUUUUCUGUAGUUUCUGGAGGACUAAGCCUAUAUAUAGGCUUC
rnacentral:lncRNA from 1 species